GCUCCACCUACAAACCUAUUUAGCCACACCUCCUGAUUUGAUUACUGUAGAGAUUCGAGGUACUUUAUAGUCUGUGUAUUAGUGUAUCAGUACCGUAUAUACUCGUAUUGAAUCAGUUGGCAUGGUAUUGGAUGAUGUCAGUACAGGAAGGAUCACGUGAUAGGUCACAUGACUUGAUAUCAACUGCCGUUCCUCGUGUGAACGGGUGGGAGUGUCCCUGGCACCCACUU